UACGGGAGGCAGCAGUGGGGAAUAUUGCACAAUGGGCGCAAGCCUGAUGCAGCCAUGCCGCGUGUAUGAAAAAGGCCUUUCGGGUUGUAAAGUACUUUCAGUCGUGAGGAAGGUGUUAAGGUUAAUAACCUUAGCAAUUGACGUUAGCGACAGAAGAAGCACCGGCUAACUCCGUGCCAGCAGCCGCGGUAAUACGGAGGGUGCGAGCGUUAAUCGGAAUUACUGGGCGUAAAGGGCACGCAAGGCGGUUAAUUAAGUUGGAUGUGAAAUCCCCGGGCUUAACCUGGGAAUGGCAUUCAAGACUGGUUAGCUAGAGUCUUGUAGAGGGGGUAGAAUUCCAUGUGUAGCGGUGAAAUGCGUAGAGAUGUGGAGGAAUACCGGUGGCGAAGGCGGCCCCUGGACAAAGGACUGACGCUCGAUGUGCGAAAGCGUGGGGAGCAAACAGGGAUUAGAUACCCGU
rnacentral:rRNA from 1 species